AUUUUGGGGCUUUUCUCUGAGUGCAGUUUUGAAUCCAAAUCAGGUAUUAAUGACAAAGUAGGGUAUUUUAGAUUACAGGGGUCUUGGAACUCCCUGUCGAUCUCAUUCAGUUUAGCAAGCAGCAUUUCAGUCUUGAGUCGUUCUUCUUCCUCUUCUUUCAAUUUAUCAAUAUUUUGAACGUGAUACAUUCCCAUUUGGUACCUUCCAGUUUCCAGUUCUGGGUUUUCUUCUUUCUUAAGUAAAGAUGUCUUUCCUUUUUGCAUUUUAUCAAGUUCUUUUCUUUCCCAUUCAUCCUCCAGCUUCUCAACCCCUUGUUUUACAAUAUGGAGCCCUUGAUCUUUAAAGUGUUUUUCUUCUUUUUCCACAGUUGGGUUUAGAAUCUGUGCGUCUUUGUGUUCAUCUUGCUCUUGGGAUUCCAGGUCCAUGGUAAGAUGUUCUGGUUCAUCCCAUUUGUUUUCAUAACACAUAGUUGUUUCUGCUGUUACAGGGAAUUCUUCCAGUUCAGACUCUUCAGUGGUUUGUAUACCUUUGGUAUACAGGUUUGUAAAAUCACUCUGGCAUGCAGCUUUAAUUUGUGAUACAGUUGUUGUAGCUCCUUUUGAAGAACUUUAUUUUCAUAAUGAGCCUCAAAUGCCCUUUUCCUUUCAGCAAGCAACUGUCAUUGGAAACUGUUAGUACUCAGCUCAAGAUUUUUUUGAUAGUUCCUUGAUUCUUCUUUCGGUAUCAUCUAACUUCAACUCUGCUGAAACUAGUUUCUUUGCCAAAUCAUCUCUUUUGGGUAGGUGUCUAGCUUCAGAGAUCUUUUUCAGUUUCUGUAAGGAAGAUUUUGUCCUAAAUAGUUCACUUUCUGUAUCUUUCACCCUUUUCUCAGUUGCCUGUUCUUUC
rnacentral:lncRNA from 1 species